GUUGCUUCUUCUGGUGAGCUCUCCCUUAUUAUUUCCAGUGGGGAAUGUUCAUGUUUCCGAAGCAUAUAUAAAUAAAUUCAUCUCGAAUAACCAGUUUUAAACAGCAUGGUGUAAUCUUCUCUAAGUUACACUACGCUACCUGUCUCCUGGUACAAUU